rnacentral:tRNA from 1 species
GCGCCUAUAGCUCAACCUGGACAGAGCGGCUGGCUUCGAACCAGUAGGUUGGAGGUUCAAAUCCUCCUAGGCGCGCCA